GUCAUUGAUUAAAUGCCGCAGCUCGCCGGGAGCCAUUUAUCAAUUUCAUCAGCUGCUUAUGGCUUUAUUUACUACAAAGGAAGCAAGGUAAUCCCUGUAAACUCAAUAGAUCUAAAUUAACUGAACGUUCAGGAGCCAGCUUAGAAAGAAUUAUUGCUCCCUGACUCAGUGGGCCAGAGAAAAGGAAUGAACACAGGAACCUGUAACAGAGGCUCUGAGAGGUUCUCUGGCAUCCAGGAGGGUCGCUUCACAAAGGACACCUGCUUGACUGGGUCUCUAUUAACCAGGUUUCUCUGCAUAGAGUCCAGGCUGAGUUGCACAGAGUAGGCAGUCCCUUCAGGAAGAGAAGGUGUUUGUAAACUGGGCCAGAGCAAGGACAUGCGGGACCCCCGCAGAGUGAACUGACAGAUCUUGAUGUUGUGAGUAUCUGGAAGAGAGGUGGACACCCUCCCUCGGGGAGCUAAAGGCACACCUGGCCCAGGGGUUGGAGAAGCUGAAGGAGCCAGCAGGAGGAGAUGGAGCAGCAGAAGGAGGUGGAGCAGCAGGAGGAGGUGGAGUAGUCACAGUCCCACACCGCUGCCCCAUGCCAUGAAGGUGAGCCAGCAGAGGCUGAUGGGGCAGCACAGUGAAGAUGGCACCUGUCAAGUCAAGAGAUGGAAAAGCUGUAACUGAACCCUGAAAGUCGCUUAACCUGGGACCUUG